CCAAAGGCUCUUUUAAGAGCCACUCAAAUAUCAAAUAUGGAGCUUU
rfam:Callithrix jacchus chromosome 4, whole genome shotgun sequence